UGCUUAUUCAGAGAGACCGAGGGAUCAGGCCCUAUGACGUCCGGCAACCUCCAUAAUGGAACGGUGCUACUUCCUGCAGAAUGAUGAUUCAUUCUGGAAGAUAAGUC
rfam:Fictibacillus phosphorivorans strain G25-29, complete genome.